AAAGCGCGCGUAGGUGGUUUGUUAAGUUGGAUGUGAAAUCCCCGGGCUCAACCUGGGAACUGCAUUCAAAACUGACUGACUAGAGUGUGGUAGAGGGUGGUGGAAUUUCCUGUGUAGCGGUGAAAUGCGUAGAUAUAGGAAGGAACACCAGUGGCGAAGGCGACCACCUGGACCAACACUGACACUGAGGUGCGAAAGCGUGGGGAGCAAACAGGAUUAGAUACCCUAGU
rnacentral:rRNA from 1 species